UGGGGAAUAUUGCACAAUGGGCGCAAGCCUGAUGCAGCAACGCCGCGUGGGCGAUGAAGGCCUUCGGGUCGUAAAGCCCUUUUUGAGGGGAUGAGGAAGGACAGUACCCUCAGAAUAAGCCUCGGCUAACUACGUGCCAGCAGCCGCGGUAAAACGUAGGAGGCGAGCGUUAUCCGGAUUUACUGGGCGUAAAGCGCGUGCAGGCGGAUUGGAGAGUUGGAUGUGAAAGCUCCCGGCUUAACUGGGAGAGGUCGUUCAAUACUUCCAGUCUUGAGUGCAGUAGAGGGAAGUGGAAUUCCGGGUGUAGUGGUGAAAUGCGUAGAUAUCCGGAGGAACACCAGUGGCGAAAGCGGCUUCCUGGACUGUAACUGACGCUCAGACGCGAAAGCUAGGGUAGCAAACG
rnacentral:rRNA from 1 species